rnacentral:rRNA from 1 species
AGUAGUUAUAUGCUUGUCUCAAAGAUUAAGCCAUGCAUGUCUAAGUAUAAGCACUUAUACUGUGAAACUGUGAAUGGCUCAUUAAAUCAGUUAUAGUUUAUUUGAUAGUACCUUUACCUGGAUAACUGUGGUAAUUCUAGAGCUAAUACAUGCUAAAAACCUCGACUUCGGAAGGGGUGUAUUUAUUAGAUAAAAAACCAAUGCCCUUUGGGGCUCCUUGGUGAUUCAUAAUAACUUAAUAAAUCGCAUGGCCUUGCGCCGGCAAUGGUUCAUUCAAAUUUCUGCCCUAUCAACUUUCGAUAGUAAGGUAGUGGCUUACCAUGGUCUCAAUGGGUAACAGGGAAUUAGGGUUCUAUUCUAGAGAGGGAGCCUGAGAAACAGCUACCACAUCCAAGGAAGGCAGCAGGCGCGCAAAUUACCCAAUACUGAUUCAGUGAGGUAGUGACAAUAAAUACUGAUACAGGGCUCUUUCAGGUCUUGUAAUUGGAAUGAGUACAAUCUAAAUCCCUUAACAAGGAAUAAUUAGAGGGCAAGUCUGGUGCCAGCAGCCGUGGUAAUUCUAGCUCCAAUAGUAUAUAUUAAAGUUAUUGCCAUUAAAAAGCUCAUAGUUGAACCUUGGACCUGGCUGAUCUGUCCUCCUAAUCGAGUGUACAGAUUCAGUCAGGUCUUUUCUUCUGGGGAGCCUUAUGCCCUUUACUGGGUGUAAUGGGGAACCAGGACUUUUACCUUGAAAAAAUUAGAGUGUUCAAAGCAGGCCUUUGCUUGAAUACAUUAGCAUGGAAUAAUAGAAUAGGAUAUUGGUUCUAUUUUGUUGGUUUCUAGGACCACUGUAAUGAUUAAUAGGGAUAGUCAGGGGCGUCCAUAUUCAAUUGUCAGAGGUGAAAUUCUUGGAUUUAUUGAAGAUGAACUACUGCAAAAGCAUUUGCCAAGGAUGUUUUCAUUAAUCAGUGAACAAAAGUUAGGGGAUUGAAGACAAUCAGAUACCAUUGUAGUCUUAACCAUAAACUAUGCUGACUAGGGAUCAGAUGGUGGUUUUUUUAUGCCCUAUUCAGCACCUUAUAAGAAAUCAAAGUAUUUGGGCUCAGAGGGGAGUAUAGUCGCAAGGCUGAAACUUAAAGAAAUUGACGGAAGGGCAUCACAAGGUGUGGAGCCUACAGCUUAAUUUAACUUAACAUAGGGAAACUCACCAGGUCCAGACAUGCUUAGGAUUGACAGAUUGAUAGCUCUUUCUUGAUUAUAUGGGUGGUGGUGCAUGGCUGUUCUUAGUUGGUGGAGUGAUUUGUCUGCUUAAUUGUGAUAACAAACAAGACCUUGACCUGCUAAAUAGCCUGAUUGACUUUUGUCGGUCACUAGCUUCUUAGAGGGACUUUUAGCUUAAGCCAAUGGAAGUACAAGGCAAUAACAGGUCUGUGAUGCCCUUAGAUGUUCUGGGCUACAUGCGCGCUACACUGACAGAGCCAGUGAGUACAUCACCUUAGCCAAAAGGUCUGGGUAAUCUUGUUAAACUCUGUUGUGCUGAGGAUAGAGCAUUGCAAUUAUUGCUCUUCACCAAGGAAUGCCUAGUAAGUGCAAGUCAUCAGCUUAUGUUGAUUAUAUCCCUGCCCUUUGUACACACCGCCUAUUGCUACUACUAAUUGAAUGGCUUAGUGAGGCCUUGGGACUGGCUUAGAAAGGUUGGUAAUAACCAUUCAGAGCUGGAAACUUGGUCAAACUUGGUUAUUUAGAGGAAGUAAAAGUCAUAACAAGGUUUCUAUAGGUGAACCUAUAGAAG